rnacentral:rRNA from 1 species
ACAGAGGGUGCGAGCGUUGUCCGGAAUCACUGGGCGUAAAGGGCGCGUAGGCGGCUCAGUAAGGUUGCGGUGAAAGCCCGGGGCUCAACCCCGGGUCGGCCGUGGCAACUGCUGGGCUGGAGCACUGUAGAGGCAGGUGGAAUUCCGGGUGUAGCGGUGGAAUGCGUAGAGAUCCGGAAGAACACCGGUGGCGAAGGCGGCCUGCUGGGCAGUAGCUGACGCUGAUGCGCGAAAGCCAGGGGAGCAAACGGGA